rnacentral:rRNA from 1 species
AGAUGGCGACCGGCGCACGGGUGAGUAACACGUAUCCAACCUGCCGAUAACUCGGGGAUAGCCUUUCGAAAGAAAGAUUAAUACCCGAUAGUAUAAUGAAACCGCAUGGUCUUAUUAUUAAAGAAUUUCGGUUAUCGAUGGGGAUGCGUUCCAUUAGGCAGUUGGUGAGGUAACGGCUCACCAAACCUUCGAUGGAUAGGGGUUCUGAGAGGAAGGUCCCCCACAUUGAAACUGAGACACGGUCCAA